CACAGGACCUGCAGACUGUCAUCAAAAAAGACAAGAAGACAAGAAGGAGAAUAAAUGUAAUCAAUAACAGUAACUAGGUAGAUGCUGGCAGUUGUAACCAGGAAAGUUUGAGAACUUCUAUUUGAUAAAUUCACAUCUGCUAAGCAUGCCUUUAUUUUAGACGCUGCAGAUAAUGUGAGCCUCAACCACUGUGCAAAACCAGAGACGGAAAAAGAUGAGGGUGAAUCUUUGCCUUAAUCUUUUCAUUCCACUUUGACCUGUGAUGGCACUUUGCAAGCUCUCCAUUGUGAUCACUGAGGAAGAAACACUUCACUGAAGGAGCUGGAAGGACUGCUUACACCAUGCUAUAUGUACAAGGAACUUUAAAGACUUUUAGAAAAAGUCUUUAAAAUGAACUUUGCUUGAAAUAACUUAAGUAUUUAGGGCUGCAACUGGUACAUAUGCAACAUAUGCUUGGUUGAAUAUUAUACAGGUUUUUUUAUAAUAAAUCUUCUAGUCACUAUUUGUAAAAAUAAUAGCAAAGG